CCGAGGAUGGGUGGCGAGGGAAUUAAGGGGUUCGGCUAUUCUUGAGAAGUUCGGGACAAACCGAUGAUACCACCCCGCCAAUCCGAGGAACCUUUGUACCUCCUUCAGGUUUCUAGGCACAGGUUAGACCAGCAGUCUCCAAUCUGUGAAGGACAGUCUGAAGGUCAUGGAAGUGCUGGGUGAUUGAAGAGACCUGCAGGAGUGAUGAAGGCAGUCUUGGCUUUGCUAUUGGGGUCCAUCGCUACCUGCCAAUAACCACUAUUAAGAUCAAUAGUGGAGAAAAUGGCUGCGCCAGAAAGUGA